rnacentral:misc_RNA from 1 species
CUAUUAUCUAGGUACUCGGACAUCACUAAAAACAGAGUUUCUCCCCUUCGGCAGGCGCGAACGAGCGGACCCGUCGUGUCUCCACGGGCCUGCCAAGGCAACAUAGGUAGGAGUAUUCAAGGGUGGGAGAUCUACCCGCGAGGGCAUGAGCUCGUUAAUGAUCCUUCCGCAGGUUCACCUACGGAAACCUUGUUACGACUUUUACUUCCUCUAAAUGACCAAGA